GUUCAAAUUCCUUGCGACAUACUCUAUAGAAUCAGAUCUUUCUUUGAAGGUAGGCACAGUAGCUAAGAAGCUAACAUGAGCGUAGUACCUGAUAGAUUGAACAUUGCAGAGAAAUGCAACCAGAAAGCAAAGCAAGAUGGUAAAAAACUUUAUAGAAGACAUCAUAGAUGUUUUAUUCCCAUACAGUAGCUCGGAGUGCGUAUAGCUUGAUUUGUUGCUCACAAAUACACUAAUAAUUGAGCUGAGCGUAAUUGCAGUUGUUGCCAAAAGUGUAGAUGCCAUAAUGUUGUUCCGUAUUGUUUGAACUGCGAGAACUCCAUUCUUUAUUGGAUCGGUCAUAAUAGAGAGGACCCAGUGAUGGCGAGACUCAGAAUUGAUUCCGAUAACAGUUCUUCUUGGAUUGCGAAUAAUGAUGGUGAGAAGCCAGGCAUGGUAUGAUACGAAAAUGGCAAUCCCAAAAGGGACAAGUAAAUAGUCAAGUUCCCG
rnacentral:misc_RNA from 1 species